UACAGAGGGGGCAAGCGUUAUUCGGAAUUAUUGGGCGUAAAGGGCGCGUAGGCGGCUUGGCAAGUGGAUGGUGAAAUCCCUCGGCUUAACCGAGGAACUGCCGUCCAAACUGCUUCGCUUGAGACCGGGAGAGGUGAGUGGAAUUCCCAGUGUAGCAGUGAAAUGCGUAGAUAUCAAGUGGAACACCAGUGGCGAAGGCGAGUCUCUGGACAUUUCCUGACGCUGAGGCACGAAAGCCAGGGGAGCAAACGGG
rnacentral:rRNA from 1 species